rnacentral:rRNA from 1 species
GACGAACGCUGGCGGCGUGCUUAACACAUGCAAGUCGAACGGAAAGGCCCUGCUUUUGUGGGGUGCUCGAGUGGCGAACGGGUGAGUAACACGUGAGUAACCUGCCCUUGACUUUGGGAUAACUUCAGGAAACUGGGGCUAAUACCGGAUAGGAGCUCCUGCUGCAUGGUGGGGGUUGGAAAGUUUCGGCGGUUGGGGAUGGACUCGCGGCUUAUCAGCUUGUUGGUGGGGUAGUGGCUUACCAAGGCUUUGACGGGUAGCCGGCCUGAGAGGGUGGACGGCGACAUUAGGACUAAGAUAGGGACCAGACUCGUACGGGCGGCAGCAGUGGAGAGUAUGGCAGAAUGGGCGGAAGCGUGAGGCAGAGACGCCGGGUGCGGGAUGACGGCCUUCGGGUUGAAAACCGCUUUCGCCUGUGACGAAGCGUGAGUGACGGUAAUGGGUAAAGAAGCACCGGCUAACUACGUG